AGAGUUUGAUCCUGGCUCAGGACGAACGCUGGCGGCGUGCUUAACACAUGCAAGUCGAACGGUGAACCCGCUUCGGUGGGGGAUCAGUGGCGAACGGGUGAGUAACACGUGGGCAACCUGCCCUCAGCUCUGGGAUAACUCCAAGAAAUUGGGGCUAAUACUGGAUAUGACCGCUGACCGCAUGGUCUGGUGGUGGAAAGAUUUAUCGGCUGGGGAUGGGCCCGCGGCCUAUCAGCUUGUUGGUGGGGUAGUGGCCUACCAAGGCGACGACGGGUAGCCGGCCUGAGAGGGUGACCGGCCACACUGGGACUGAGACACGGCCCAGACUCCUACGGGAGGCAGCAGUGGGGAAUAUUGCGCAAUGGGCGAAAGCCUGACGCAGCGACGCCGCGUGGGGGAUGACGGCCUUCGGGUUGUAAACCUCUUUCAGCAGGGACGAAGCGAAAGUGACGGUACCUGCAGAAGAAGCACCGGCCAACUACGUGCCAGCAGCCGCGGUAAUACGUAGGGUGCAAGCGUUGUCCGGAAUUAUUGGGCGUAAAGAGCUCGUAGGCGGUUUGUUGCGUCGGCUGUGAAAACCUGAGGCUCAACCUCAGGCCUGCAGUCGAUACGAGCAGACUAGAGUGUUGCAGGGGAGACUGGAAUUCCUGGUGUAGCGGUGAAAUGCGCAGAUAUCAGGAGGAACACCGGUGGCGAAGGCGGGUCUCUGGGCAACAACUGACGCUGAGGAGCGAAAGCGUGGGGAGCGACAGGAUUAGAUACCCNNGUAGUCC
rnacentral:rRNA from 1 species